GGUUCUGAUCCGUUGAAAUUGACUCAACGGUAAUAGUUUGGUGAAUGUGAUGCAAAGUGUUAACUAUAGAAGUGGUUAUUUUCAGAAUCCGUUCUGAAGUGAAAAAAAACAACACUCUGUGCUAUAAAAAAAAACACCGGAAUAAAUUUACCAAGGCUCUCUGAUGUGUGAAAACUGUAGCCACUAGGAAUAAAGUUUUAGCGUUCCAGGAUACUUUCCUUGUCCAUAAAUCCGCAACAGCAUACGUGAAGCAUCCCCCGGAGAGAACGAGAGACACCCGGAGUCUAUUUUUAUACACCGACAAGUCCAGUGUACGCACGACUUGACUGUGAGAAGAAUCAAAUCUUGAAGAAGAUUGACGAAGCGCUGCGAAGAAGGGCUUACAAGUGUGAAUGCAAAAUCGCGAAAAAGUGAAACCAAGUGGAAACUGUGAUCUUGGUGAAGAUAUUGUGAUAUCGGAUAAAACCUAUAAGUGCUUUUCGAAUUCAGUCCGGAUACUUCACCACGGCUAGUAGGAAAAUCAGAAGCCACUGAAAACCCCAGCGCGCUCACGUUCCGUUGUCUUCACAGAUUCCGCUCCGCUCACCGGCCCUCAAUAGGUGAAAAGCAACGGCGAAAGGAUAACAACUUACACAAUCGAUAUCGAAAAAGGACAGUGGUGGAAUCACACGGAUGUGCUAAAAAUAAACUGACAAAGUGAGUGUAUGACUGCAUACCACUGUAGUGUGAGAGUAUCGAACAGCCAAGCGGAAACGGACAACCGUGGAAAAAAAUAAUAAAAAAGCAUCCAAACAAGCCGACGAAGACGCGGUCGGACAGGUGAUUUUUUUUAUUUCGAACAAAGAAGGCUGUGAGGAAUCAGUGAACCAAAAACCGAAGUUGGCUUUGAACCUGUUGAUUAUUAACUUGUUACGUGUGCGUGAGUGCGGUUUGCCCGUUUCGCCGUUUAGAAGUGCACACGCAAGGUCACCCGCGUACGUGCCACUACCUGCCACUGCUCCCCGCUAUUUGUUCUCUACACCUCUCUAUACUCCUUCGCGCCUUUCACUCUCUCACUAUCCCUACCACCCGAACGACCUCUCAACCCCGCCAACCACAACCAACUAAUAAGCUCAAAAACCACUGUACAUAGUCCUUCCGGAAACACAAAACCCCGAAGCCCAAGCUUAGCCAUGUUCCGUCGUCAAAUCCUGCCAAUCCUGGCAUACAUGAGCGUGCUUUCCAGCACCUAUUCGCUGCACAUGGCCCGCGAUGCUUACAUAAAAGCACCGCCUCCUCCUCCGGCUGCCGCUGCCCAGCUUCUGGAAGAAUUGGACGAUAUGUCCGAGCUGCUGGCGGAAAACAGAAUUCCCGCGGGGCCGCCACCUCCCAUCGUAGUGUUGCCGCACAUGAAGCAGCCCUCGCUAUCUUCGGCGUCGGCUCACCAUCACCAGCAGCACCAGCACCAACAGGUGCUACUUUCACCAUCCCAGCAAUCUCCCGAAAGGUCGCCCCAUGGCGUCGGGGUCGUAAUCAAUCAUCUAACCAGUAACGAACUGCCCGAACUGAGUUCGCCGCCGGUGCGCCAUCCGGUGGGACCCUUAAUCCAACCUCGCGGCCUACAGGAACUGUUCGGGGUGCAAACCAACUUCGACCUGCGCAAUUCCCAACCGAUGCAGAACCCCAACGUUGACGCCAACAACGACAACAACAACGAUCUGGGCAGCGAUGAGGAUCAACCCCCGCAACAACAACAACAACAACAACAACAGCAACAGAGAAGCCCGAACAACAACAAACGAUCAUCGCACAGUAAUAGCAACGGAGGGGGUGGUGGACGAGGAGGAAGUUCCAUGGAAGCUACCGGCGGGGGCGGUGGAGGGGACAGCAGUAACAGCGGCGGCAGCAGCAGUAGUGGCGGAAGUGGCAAUAUGCCGUCGAUUCCGCACGAUAUGGCCAGCCAACUGAUGCUGCGCAGUGCCCGGGGCCAGCGGCAGUACGACGUCCCGCAAAUCGAAUGUCCGCCCGCGAUGGACGGCAUGGAGCGAUUUGCCUGCCCCACGCCCGACCGGCAGGGUCGAUAUCGAUGUAUAGACGACCACGUGCUCUGCGACGGGUUCAUCGACUGUCCGGAGGGCGAGGACGAGGACCGGCAGGCGUGCAUGUUCUACAAAACGACGAAAGCCCAUCUGGACGUGCUUGCCGACGCUUUACUCAGAUGGGCAAGAGGGCGUUAAGAUGCGUCAACCGGCGGAAACCACCACAAAUGGACUAUUCAACAGACGAUUACACAACACACACCUACAGACGAACAUGAAGAGGCAGAGACAACCACUAAUCAUAGAAAACAAAAACAUAAGAAGGAAGUGAUCUAUUUUUAAGAUGGCAUCAAGGAAAAAUCCAGGAGCAAUGGACGAGAAAGGCUGUAAAUAGGACGAACGACAAAUGGACAAACAUACUCUACAAAAGCUACAGAUUAAACUAAAAACAAAUCCAAAGAAGGUAUAUAUAUACAUAGAUAUAUAUUUGUUAAGGACAACACUCUUCAAGCAGGCAGCUGAUGCAGACUGUUCCGUGUGUAUGAUGUUGUAUAGAAUCGGAGACGUGUAUAGGCAGAUUCAGAAAGGAGAGUGCGUAACUGACUAAUAGAUCGUCGCCCAGUGAAAACUGACAGUUAAACGAUAACUUCGGGCGGCGAUUCACGAAGAAACCAAAAAAACAGAACUAAUCGAACGGCGCUACAGGUGUAAAACACUUGAGCAAAACCAACACUAAUAAUAAACUCGAUAUUUAUUAUCAGUCACAAGGAUACCUACACUCUGGAAAAAGAAGGAGGCUAAUCAGCACACUCGCAAGGCGAAGAAAUACGAAACGAUCAAAAACGAUAUUUCCAAACAGUGAAGUAAUAGGCCAACUACCGGAGCCUUUUCUCACUAGCUCAGAUCAAAAAAGUUUGACUUUGAUUGAACGAUUAUUCGGGUUUAAAAAGAGGUUUCCGUUAUAUUUUCUCUGUUACUUUUUCUUGACAACGCGAACUGAAGUCUAUCGAGGCAACUUGUAAAAAGUAAGCUAACAAAUCUACAAACAUCCAAGAUCGUUAUAAAAUUAAUGGAAUUAAGUCAAAGACAAACAAAAAAAAUCUUGCAGAAAACUAUUCUCAUGGACAAGGCAGCUAUAUUGUAUAGAUAAGUCACAAUUUUAACAAAGUAAAUGAAUCCAACCUUAGUGAACUCUUAAAACAACCAAUGCUAUUUCACAUUUAAGGGAUAAGUGACACUCACAUCAACACGCCAUCAUAAAA